UGAAGCAGCAUAAGGCUAAGCGGUCGCCGGCCCACACACACAUGCGCCCACAUGCCGGCUGCCUCUCCGUGCGCGCGUACGCGUUGACAGGCUGCCAGCCAGCCAGCCCGCCGAGAGAAGAGGAAAAAAUCGUCCGGGAGCAGAGGAGAGAGGCAGAGAGAUGUCCAUGGCGGACGCCGAGGCCCCCUUCCUGCUGCCCGCCGACGACGACGAGGCGGCGCCUCUCGCCGGCGUCUCCGACUUCCGCGGCCGCCCGGUGCUCCGCGCCGGGUCCGGCGGGUGGCGCUCCGCCCUCUUCGUCUGCGGGAAUGAUGGUGGAUGUCAGUUCCUAUUGAUUAAUUGGGCUAGCUUUGUGAGGACAACAAUGGAGUGCUGCAAGCAGAUGUCUACCAAUAUAUACAAGUCACAACAGAUGGAGAUGAAUUGUUAGCUGGACGCAUCUUCGCUUCUUGUGCCACCUGAUUCCAUCUACCCUUGGUGAACAUUCAAUUCAUUAUCUCACCUUGUUUUUGAUGUGCUAUUAUAAUAAGGGUUGGUGCUGGGCAGGAGUUUGCAGUGUGAUAGAUGGUUGCUUGCCCCUUCCUCCCAGCUUCUCCAGCCUCCGAAUUAUCUUGUUCAUUUAUCUUGGUGUGCUUACUCUGUAUUGAACUGAACAUUCCUUGUUUCAAGAUUUAACUUGUUGAAAACACAAUUUAUUCGAGAUGCAUUGUAAUUUUCUCAGUUCUACUGUAACUUUGUGAUGAAAUGUUGUUUCA